rnacentral:rRNA from 1 species
AUUGAACGCUGGCGGAAUGCUUUACACAUGCAAGUCGAGCGGCAGCACGGGGCAACCCUGGUGGCGAGCGGCGAACGGGUGAGUAAUACAUCGGAACAUGCCCAGUCGUGGGGGAUAACACUUCGAAAGAAGUGCUAAUACCGCAUACGUCCUGAGGGAGAAAGCGGGGGAUCUUCGGACCUCGCGCGAUUGGAGUGGCCGAUGUCAGAUUAGCUAGUUGGUGGGGUAAAGGCCUACCAAGGCAACGAUCUGUAGCUGGUCUGAGAGGAUGAUCAGCCACACUGGGACUGAGACACGGCCCAGCCUCCUACGGGAGGCAGCAGUGGGGAAUUUUGGACAAUGGGGGCAACCCUGAUCCAGCCAUUCCGCGUGAGUGAAGAAGGCCUUCGGGUUGUAAAGCUCUUUCGGCAGGAACGAAACGGCGAGCUCUAACAUAGCUUGCUAAUGACGGUACCUGAAGAAGAAGCACCGGCUAACUACGUGCCAGCCGCCGCGGUAAUAC